AUUGAACGCUGGCGGCAUGCUUCACACAUGCAAGUCGAACGGCAGCACGGACUUCGGUCUGGUGGCGAGUGGCGAACGGGUGAGUAAUACAUCGGAACGUACCCAGUAAUGGGGGAUAACUAUCCGAAAGGAUAGCUAAUACCGCAUACGCCCUAAGGGGGAAAGAGGGGGAUCGCAAGACCUCUUGUUAUUGGAGCGGCCGAUGGCUGAUUAGCUAGGUGGUAGGGUAAAGGCCUACCAAGGAAAGGAUCAGUAGCGGGUCUUAGAGGACGAGCGGACACACUGGAACUGGGACACGGUCCAGACUCGUACGGGAGGCAACAGUGGUGAAUCUUGGACAAUGGGCGCAAGCCUGAUCCAGCAAUGCCGCGUGCGUGAAGAAGGCCUGCGGGUUGUAAAGCGCUUUUGUCAGGGAGCAAAUCCAUGUGGCUAAUACCCACCGGGGAUGAGAGUACCUGAAGAAUAAGGACCGGCUAACUACGUGCCAGCAGCCGCCGCGGUAA
rnacentral:rRNA from 1 species